UACAGAGGUGGCGAGCGUUGUUCGGAUUUACUGGGCGUAAAGGGUGCGUAGGCGGUAUCGUGUGUCGGAUGUGAAAUCCCACUGCUCAAUGGUGGAACUGCAUUCGAAACUGCGAAACUUGAGGUCAUGAGGGGAGAGGGGAAUUCUUGGUGUAGCGGUGAAAUGCGUUGAUAUCAAGAAGAACACCGGUGGCGAAGGCGCCUCUCUGGAAUGAUUCUGACGCUGAGGCACGAAAGCUAGGGGAG
rnacentral:rRNA from 1 species